rnacentral:rRNA from 1 species
CUCCUACGGGAGGCAGCAGUGGGGAAUUUUGGACAAUGGGCGCAAGCCUGAUCCAGCAAUGCCGCGUGCAGGAAGAAGGCCUUCGGGUUGUAAACUGCUUUUGUCAGGGAAGAAAUCUUCUGGGCUAAUACCCCGGGAGGAUGACGGUACCUGAAGAAWWARCACCGGCUAACUACGUGCCAGCAGCCGCGGUAAUACGUAGGGUGCGAGCGUUAAUCGGAAUUACUGGGCGUAAAGCGUGCGCAGGCGGUUAUGUAAGACAGAUGUGAAAUCCCCAGGCUCAACCUGGGAACUGCAUUUGUGACUGCAUGACUGGAGUGCGGCAGAGGGGGAUGGAAUUCCGCGUGUAGCAGUGAAAUGCGUAGAUWUGCGGAGGAACACCGAUGGCGAAGGCAAUCCCCUGGGCCUGCACUGACGCUCAUGCACGAAAGCGUGGGGAGCAAACAGGAUUAGAUACCCUGGUAGUCCACGCCCUAAACGAUGUCAACUGGUUGUUGGGUGCAUUAGUACUCAGUAACGAAGCUAACGCGUGAAGUUGACCGCCUGGGGAGUACGGCCGCAAGGUUGAAACUCAAAUGAAUUGACGA